rnacentral:rRNA from 1 species
AUUGAACGCUGGCGGCAGGCUUAACACAUGCAAGUCGAGCGGAGCGAAGGUGCUUGCACCUUAGCUUAGCGGCGGACGGGUGAGUAAUGCUUAGGAAUCUGCCUAUUAGUGGGGGACAACGUUUCGAAAGGAACGCUAAUACCGCAUACGUCCUACGGGAGAAAGCAGGGGAUCUUCGGACCUUGUGCUAAUAGAUGAGCCUAAGUCGGAUUAGCUAGUUGGUGGGGUAAAGGCCUACCAAGGCGACGAUCUGUAGCGGGUCUGAGAGGAUGAACCGCCACGCUGGGACUGGGACACGGCCCAGACUCCUACGGGAGGCAGCAGUGGGGAAUAUUGGAGAAUGGGCGAAAGCCUGAUCCAGCCAUGCCGCGUGUGUGAAGAAGGCCUUUUGGUUGUAAAGCACUUUAAGCGAGGAGGAGGAGCUUCAGGUGAAUACCCUGGAUGCUUGGACGUUACUCGCAGAAUAAGCACCGGCUAACUCUGUGCCAGCCGCCGCGGUAA